ACAGAUUGCUAGUGCUUUUAUGUGCUGAGCCUUUCCCUUCAACCUGGACUGAAAGAGGAUGGCAAUCUCGCUGAAGCUGUUUCUUUUUCUUCACAACAUAUAGGAAAGUGUUGCCCCUUUUUGGAGUGGUGCAUAGGACGAUGACUAUAGAUUUUCAUCUGUAACUCCUAAAAACUUACUCAGGGGCCAUAAAGAAAAUUGAUGAGGACAACUGGCCUCCCAGUAUGUGGAUUCAGUUUCCAUAUGUCAAUUUACCAACUCCCACUGGUAGUCUGAAGAGAUAUGGCUACUGGAGAACAGAAAAUCACCAGUAUUAAUAAAAGCAAUUUUAAGUGUUUACCUUUUAGUAUUUGAAUAGCUUUGUUAAAGAGACGUACUCAAGAAUACUAUGAAGAGACUCUUAUUGUACUCCUUACCUGGAGAUAAUUGUGAUGCCAGAAAUUCAAAUUUAUAUUCAACAAUAUGGUUUUUCAACCAUCAAUAUUAUAAACAUCUAGGCAGUGUCUAUUGUUUGCGCAUUUGCCAUCCUCUAAAAUGAGAUUAUUCUAAGCAUAAAUUAUACUUCAUCAUUCAAGAUUAUAAACAUUUAUAAUAAUCAUAAUAUUCACAGACAUUUCCCUGCUCUCAAAUCACUAGAGCUAAUAGGCAAAGUAGAUACAGCUACAAACAGUGGGAGAAAAUAUUUCUGGCUGACCUACAAAUAGCUGUGCAAUAAUGUAGAGAGGAAAAUAUAGUCUCACUUACAGUGUCUGAAAUUGAGUUUCCCUCUUUAAAGGACAAAGUAAUUUUCAAAAAUAUUUGAGUAUUAUUCUGUGUAAAAAAUCUCUGUUUUAACUGGCUUAUUGAAUUGUAUUUCUUUAUUGUGUUUGUAUUCACUUUUCCAUUUGUGGGUGGAAUUUAUUAUAAUUACCAGUUUUAUACUGAAUGAAACAAAAAUCUCAUAGAUUUAAUAAAACUUUAAAUUCCUUGUCAUUAAUAAUAAAAUGUAUAUGCUUUCUCUAAUAAGUCCAUACUUUAUUGUUUAAAACCUGUUUUUCCUCUUUCUCAAGCACAUGGAUUGUUAAUUUAAAUUCUGAAAUAAAGCCAAUUAAUCCAUAAACAUGGACUGUGGAUAAUGUCGAUAUUACAUGUAAAUUUCUCAGUGUGUGUUUCGUGGACCCAAUAGCAUCAGCAUUAGCUGGGGACUUACGAGGUGGCCUGUGCCUGUAGUCCCAGCUACUCAGGAGGCUGAGGCAGGAGAAUCGCU
rnacentral:lncRNA from 1 species